CCUACGGGAGGCAGCAGUGGGGAAUAUUGGGCAAUGGGCGCAAGGCUGACCCAGCAACGCCGCGUGAAGGAAGAUGGCUUUCGGGUUGUAAACUUCUUUUCUCAGGGACGAAGCAAGUGACGGUACCUGAGGAAUAAGCCACCGCUAACUACAUGCAAGCAGCCGCGGUAAUACGUAGGUGGCAGGCGUUAUCCGGAUUUACUGGUUGUAAGGGGCGUGGAGGCGGGACUGCAAGUCAGAUGUGAAAACCACGGGCUAAACCUGUGGCGUGCAUUUGAAACUGUAGUUCUGGAGUACUGGAGAGGCAGACGGAAUGCCUAGUGUAGCGGUGAAAUGCGUAGAUAUCAGGAGGAACACCAGUUGCGAAGGCGGUCUGCGGGACAGCAACUGACGCUGAGGCGCGAAAGCGUGGGGAGCAAACAGGAUUAGAUACCCGGGUAGUC
rnacentral:rRNA from 1 species